GACGAACGCUGGCGGCGUGCUUAACACAUGCAAGUCGAACGGAAAGGCCCUGCUUUUGUGGGGUGCUCGAGUGGCGAACGGGUGAGUAACACGUGAGUAACCUGCCCUUGACUUUGGGAUAACUUCAGGAAACUGGGGCUAAUACCGGCUAGGAGCUCCUGCUGCAUGGUGGGGGUUGGAAAGUUUCGGCGGUUGGGGAUGGACUCGCGGCUUAUCAGCUUGUUGGUGGGGUAGUGGCUUACCAAGGCUUUGACGGGUAGCCGGCCUGAGAGGGUGACCGGCCACAUUGGGACUGAGAGACGGCCCAGACUCCUACGGGAGGCAGCAGUGGGGAAUAUUGCACAAUGGGCGGAAGCCUGAUGCAGAAACGCCGCGUGCGGGAUGACGGCCUUCGGGGUGUAAACCGCUUUCGCCUGUGACGAAGCGUGAGUGACGGUAAUGGGUAAAGAAGCACCGGCUAACUACGUG
rnacentral:rRNA from 1 species